rnacentral:rRNA from 1 species
ACGGGGGAGGCAAGCGUUGUCCGGAAUCACUGGGUGUAAAGGGCGUGUAGGCGGGCUUUUAAGUCGAUUGUGAAAUUUCUCGGCUCAACCGGGAAACUGCAGUCGAUACUAUUGGCCUUGAGUGCGGAAGGGGAGAAUGGAAUUCCUGGUGUAGCGGUGAAAUGCGUAGAUAUCAGGAGGAACACCGGUGGCGAAGGCGGUUCUCUGGUCCUGCACUGACGCUAAGGCGCGAAAGCAAGGGGAGCAAACAGAAUUAGAUACUCUGGUAGUCCUUGCCCUAAACGAUGGGUACUAGGUGUUCGUUCUUUUAAAGGAUGAGUGCCGAAGCUAACGCAUUAAGUACCCCACCUGGGGAGUACGAUCGCAAGGUUG